UACGUAGGGGGCAAGCGUUGUCCGGAUUUAUUGGGCGUAAAGAGCGUGUAGGCGGUUUGGUAGGUCCGCUGUGAAAACGUCGAGCUCAACCUCGAGACGCCGGUGGAAACCAUCAGACUAGAGUCCGGAAGAGGAGAGUGGAAUUCCUGGUGUAGCGGUGAAAUGCGCAGAUAUCAGGAAGAACACCCGUGGCUAAGGCGGCUCUCUAGUACGGUACUGACGCUGAGACGCGAAAGCGUGGGGAGCGAACAGG
rnacentral:rRNA from 1 species